rnacentral:rRNA from 1 species
GAUAGGUGCCAGCAGCCGCGGUAAUACGUAGGGUCCAAGCGUUAAUCGGAAUUACUGGGCGUAAAGCGUGCGCAGGCGGUUGUGCAAGACCGAUGUGAAAUCCCCGAGCUUAACUUGGGAAUUGCAUUGGUGACUGCACGGCUAGAGUGUGUCAGAGGGGGGUAGAAUUCCACGUGUAGCAGUGAAAUGCGUAGAGAUGUGGAGGAAUACCGAUGGCGAAGGCAGCCCCCUGGGAUAACACUGACGCUCAUGCACGAAAGCGUGGGGAGCAAACAGGAUUAGAUACCCUGGUAGUCCACGCCCUAAACGAUGUCAACUAGUUGUUGGGGAUUCAUUUCCUUAGUAACGUAGCUAACGCGUGAAGUUGACCGCCUGGGGAGUACGGUCGCAAGAUUA